GCUCCGUUGGCGCAAUGGUAGCGCGUGUGUUUUCUAUACCGUUCACACAAGGCUGGGGGUUCGAGUCCCUCACGGAGUU